rnacentral:SRP_RNA from 1 species
GUGCGGGUCCUGUGCGGCAAAGCACUGUGAACCAUGUCAGGCGGGGAACCGAGCAGCAUUAAGCGGGCAGCUAUGCGCGCCACAGUCCGCCUGCUCGCC